CAGUCGCCGCGGUAAUACGUAGGUGGCAAGCGUUGUCCGGAAUUAUUGGGCGUAAAGGGCUCGCAGGCGGUUUCUUAAGUCUGAUGUGAAAGCCCCCGGCUCAACCUUGGAACUGCCUUUGAUACUGUUUGUCUUGAGUUCGAGAGAGGUAAGUGGAACUGCGAGUGUAGAGGUGAAAUUCGUAGAUAUUCGCAAGAACACCAGUGGCGAAGGCGGCUUACUGGCUCGAAACUGACGCUGAGGCGCGAAAGCGUGGGGAGCGAACAGGAUUAGAUACCCGGGUAGUCCCUGUCUCUUAUAC
rnacentral:rRNA from 1 species